rnacentral:lncRNA from 1 species
CAACCAAAUCAAUCCAGUCUUGAAUCAUUUUAACUAGGCAAUAUGCAUACCCGUGGGAGUGGAUUAGAAGAAGCCACGCCACUUCUAACAUUUAUGACAAUAGAAAUAUAGAUAAGAUGUUGCCAGGUCAGUGUAACCAGGACUCUACUCCCUCUAAAGAAAUAACUGACCAAUAAUAAGGAGCUGUAUCUCACGCGUUUCUAGUAAACGUUUAACAAUGAUUUUAAAACUUAAUUCACUCUGUAGUUAGUUCUGAAUAUCAACGCAGUCAAAUUUUUUUUUACAUACUUAAAAAAAGAAAAAUAAUUAUUACAUCGAGAAAAAAAAAAGAGUUAUACAACACUAUCAGAUCUCCAUCAACGCAGGCGCGCACAACAGAAGGAUGUCAAGGGUGUGGAGAGGGUUCUGUGCUAGGAGUGAUUAUAACUAGUAACGUAGUUUUGUAGUUAACAAUGUUUUACCACUUAUCUCGUGAUGGUGAAUAUUAGAAAUAAAUAUAUAUAGUUAGGGCUUCAUAUGACGUCAGUGGUAAGACGGCGUUUGACUUCAAGUUCAAAAUACCUGAGUCGUGGCAUGGCGUCGUUUGUCGAGUAGGACACAUGAAACUAUGAAGGAAGACAUACACAGCGUUACUAUGGAAGUCAGAUUUCUAACCUGUGCAACGGACUAUCAGUAAUAUUGUCCAAUCUAAAGAAUACGACCGUGCCCUCAUCUAUGUUGGCAAAGAUAAAUGAUUUAAAAUAAAGAGACGACGCUGCAAAUCCUUCACCAGCAAGUCACUUAAACGCCUUAUAAUGAUGUAUCGUGCUUUUUGGGAUACAAUAUUCCUUCUCACCGUGUGUGAUGCUGUUGUUCCGCUGUUUUCUCAUUGCUGUAACGGUCAUGAGUCUGGCAAUUUUUGACUUUGUUGGAUCCUCAUUUUCACAUUUGGGCUCCCUUUUUACAUAUGGGCAGGUGCAAGAGAAUUCUAACUCAACAACGACCAUUGCAACCACCACAACAACAACUACCACAACAACCACCUCCAGCACGACGACAACCACUACUACUACACGUGUCAAAAGUAUGCUCUGUCUGCCUUUUCCUUUAUGCUCAACUCAUUUUGGCUUUCAUAGACUGA